AUGCCGCCAUGGCCUCGUGCUCAUCUACAUUCCGGCGCGUCUUCAGAUCCUGGUGUGGGACCCCAUCACCGCCGACCAGCACUACAUCGCCAUUCCCCCUGCGGUUGUGCAAGCUCGGGGAAGACUCGGAUCAACGGGGCGGUGUUUCGCGCUGCGGGAGACGUCCAACACUUCCAGGUGGUCUUGGUAAUGGCAUACGGUGAUGACCAUCAACAUACACGAGUGAUCGCCUGUGUUUACUCGUCAAAGACCGGCUUAUGGGGAGAUCCCAUCUCAACACCCCUUUCGAUACCGGGCAGUCCUGGCUGA
rnacentral:rRNA from 1 species